UCGGCAAGUCAGAUGUGAAAUCCACGGGCUUAACUCGUGAACUGCAUUUGAAACUGUUGAUCUUGAGUAUCGGAGAGGCAAUCGGAAUUCCUAGUGUAGCGGUGAAAUGCGUAGAUAUUAGGAGGAACACCAGUGGCGAAGGCGGAUUGCUGGACGACAACUGACGGUGAGGCGCGAAAGCGUGGGGAGCAAACAGGAUUAGAUACCCUGGUAGUCCACGCUGUAAACGAUGAAUACUAGGUGUGCGGGGACUGACCCCCUGCGUGCCGCAGCUAACGCAAUAAGUAUUCCACCUGGGGAGUACGAUCGCAGGGUUGCAACUCAAAUGAAUUGACGG
rnacentral:rRNA from 1 species